rnacentral:rRNA from 1 species
GGUCAAGCGAAUAAGCGCACACGGUGGAUGCCUAGGCGGUCAGAGGCGAUGAAGGACGUGGUAGCCUGCGAAAAGUGUCGGGGAGCUGGCAACAAGCUUUGAUCCGGCAAUGUCCGAAUGGGGAAACCCACUGCUUCGGCAGUAUCCUGCAGUGAAUUCAUAGCUGCUGGAAGCGAACCCGGUGAACUGAAAUAUCUAAGUAACCGGAGGAAAAGAAAUCAACCGAGAUUCCCUGAGUAGUGACGAGCGAACGGGGAACAGCCCUUAAGCUGGAAUGGCUUUAGAAAAACAAUCUGGAAAGAUUGGCCAUAGAAGGUGAUAGCCCUGUAUUUAAAAGGGCCACUCCAGUGAAGACGAGUAGGGCGGGGCACGUGAAACCCUGUCUGAAUAUGGGGGGACCAUCCUCCAAGGCUAAAUACUCCUGACCGACCGAUAGUGAACCAGUACCGUGAGGGAAAGGCGAAAAGAACCCCGGAGAGGGGAGUGAAAUAGAUCCUGAAACCGUGUGCGUACAAGCAGUAGGAGCUCGCAAGAGUGACUGCGUACCUUUUGUAUAAUGGGUCAGCGACUUACUGUUCGUGGCAAGCUUAACCGUAUAGGGGAGGCGAAGGGAAACCGAGUCUGAUAAGGGCGCAUAGUCGCGGGCAGUAGACCCGAAACCGGGUGAUCUAGUCAUGGCCAGGGUGAAGGUGCCGUAACAGGUACUGGAGGCCCGAACCCACGUCUGUUGCAAAAGACGGGGAUGAGCUGUGAUUAGGAGUGAAAAGCUAAUCGAACCCGGAGAUAGCUGGUUCUCCUCGAAAGCUAUUUAGGUAGCGCCUCGGACGAAUACUACUGGGGGUAGAGCACUGUUAUGGCUAGGGGGUCAUCGCGACUUACCAAACCAUUGCAAACUCCGAAUACCAGUACGUACUAUCCGGGAGACACACGGCGGGUGCUAACGUCCGUCGUGAAAAGGGAAACAACCCAGACCCACAGCUAAGGUCCCAAAUUCACUGCUAAGUGGAAAACGAUGUGGAAAGGCACAGACAGCCAGGAGGUUGGCUUAGAAGCAGCCACCCUUUAAAGAAAGCGUAAUAGCUCACUGGUCGAGUCGGUCUGCGCGGAAGAUUUAACGGGGCUAAGCAGUGAACCGAAGCUUGGGGUGCGUAAAACUUCGGUUUUAUGCGCGGUAGAGGAGCGUUCCGUAAGCCUGCGAAGGUGGAUUGAGAAGUCUGCUGGAGGUAUCGGAAGUGCGAAUGCUGACAUGAGUAACGAUAAUGCGGGUGAAAAGCCCGCACGCCGAAAGCCCAAGGUUUCCUUGCGCAACGUUAAUCGACGCAGGGUUAGUCGGUCCCUAAGGCGAGGGCGAAAGCCGUAGUCGAUGGGAAGCAGGUUAAUAUUCCUGCACCUCGCGUGAGUGCGAUGGAGGGACGGAGAAGGUUAGGUGUACCGGGCGUUGGUUGUCCCGGGGAAAGGCGGUAGGUUUGAAUCUUUGGCAAAUCCGGGAUUCUUUAAGACCGAGCACCGAGACGAGCCUUUAUGGCGAAGUCACUGAUACCACGCUUCCAGGAAAAGCUCCUAAGCUUCAGCUCACGAAGACCGUACCGUAAACCGACACAGGUGGGUAGGAUGAGAAUUCUCAGGCGCUUGAGAGAACUCGGGUGAAGGAACUAGGCAACAUGGCACCGUAACUUCGGGAGAAGGUGCACCCUUUUUGGUGGCUCAUGCGAGCUAUAGCUGAAGAGGGUCGCAGAAACCAGGCCGCUGCGACUGUUUAUCAAAAACACAGCACUCUGCAAACACGAAAGUGGACGUAUAGGGUGUGACGCCUGCCCGGUGCUGGAAGGUUAAUUGAUGGGGUCAGCCGCAAGGCGAAGCUCUUGAUCGAAGCCCCAGUAAACGGCGGCCGUAACUAUAACGGUCCUAAGGUAGCGAAAUUCCUUGUCGGGUAAGUUCCGACCUGCACGAAUGGCGUAACGACAGCGGCGCUGUCUCCACCCGAGACUCAGUGAAAUUGAAAUCGCUGUGAAGAUGCAGCGUUCCCGUGGCAAGACGGAAAGACCCCGUGAACCUUUACUAUAGCUUUACACUGAACGUUGAGUUCGUCUGUGUAGGAUAGGUGGGAGGCUAUGAAACUGUGGCGCUAGCUGCAGUGGAGCCAUCCUUGAAAUACCACCCUGUCGUGCUUGACGUUCUAACCUAGAUCCGUUAUCCGGAUCAGGGACCGUGUAUGGUGGGUAGUUUGACUGGGGCGGUCUCCUCCUAAAGAGUAACGGAGGAGCACGAAGGUACGCUCAGCGCGGUCGGACAUCGCGCACUGUGUGCAAAGGCAUAAGCGUGCUUGACUGCAAGAUCGACGGAUCAAGCAGGUACGAAAGUAGGUCUUAGUGAUCCGGUGGUUCUGUAUGGAAGGGCCAUCGCUCAACGGAUAAAAGGUACUCCGGGGAUAACAGGCUGAUACCGCCCAAGAGUUCAUAUCGACGGCGGUGUUUGGCACCUCGAUGUCGGCUCAUCACAUCCUGGGGCUGUAGUCGGUCCCAAGGGUAUGGCUGUUCGCCAUUUAAAGUGGUACGCGAGCUGGGUUCAGAACGUCGUGAGACAGUUCGGUCCCUAUCUGCCAUGGGCGUUGGAAGUUUGAGAGGGGCUGCUCCUAGUACGAGAGGACCGGAGUGGACGAACCUCUGGUGUUCCGGUUGUCACGCCAGUGGCAUUGCCGGGUAGCUAUGUUCGGAAGCGAUAACCGCUGAAAGCAUCUAAGCGGGAAGCGCGCCUCAAGAUGAGACUUCCCGGGGCACAAGCCCCCUAAAGGAACCAUAUAGACUAUGUGGUUGAUAGGUCAGGUGUGUAAGUACAGCAAUGUAUUGAGCUAACUGAUACUAAUGAUCCGUGCGGCUUGACCAU